AAGACGGAGGGUGCUAGCGUUGUUCGGAUUUACUGGGCGUAAAGGGCGCGUAGGCGGCCUGGUCAGUCGGGUGUGAAAGCCCGGGGCUCAACCCCGGAACGGCACCCGAGACGGCCAGGCUGGAGACCGGGAGAGGAGGGUGGAAUAGCCAGUGUGAGGCGAAAUUCGUAGAUAUUGGCUGGAACACCGGUGGCGAAAGCGGCUCUCUGGCCCGGUUCUGACGCUGAGGCGCGAAAGCGUGGGGAGCAAACAGGA
rnacentral:rRNA from 1 species